AGAGAGGUGUCCGAGUGGCCGAAGGUGCAAUCUUGGAAAGGUUGUGUAGUUUAUUCUACCGAGGGUUCGAAUCCCUUCCUCUCUGCCA
rnacentral:tRNA from 1 species